rnacentral:lncRNA from 1 species
GGGUUGGUAAUCCCACAGACGGUGGAGGGACUGAGGGUCAUAUUUAGAUGUGCAGGUCAGAGCUUCAGUGGUGGUGUGUGCAUUUCUAAUGUUGGUUUUCCAGAUGUGGUAGAAUUUUCUGAGUACUUUGAAACUGAAAGCCACAAGACAUUCUGUACAUCACAACAUACUAUAUUUCUUAAUAUUUUUGACUCUUUGUGCUGCACAAGCCUUAGCAUUGUGUAUAAAGAUGCGAAACAGUUUGGCAAGAUUUAUGCCUGCUUGAGAGUUAAGAUCCAAGUCAGCUGUAGGAAUUAUAGAAGAGAAACAAACAAACAAAAAAAGAAAUACAGAGAAAAGGACUGCUUUUGUCUUUGUCCUUUGCAGGAACCUAUGCACUUUCUGCCCUUCUUUCCUGUACCCCUCCCUGGCCCAGGAGGAGUUCACAGCAACAUAUCUGCUGUUGCCCCAAGCAAAUGUACUCUGGCUGCUAAUUUGCAGCUGUGCCUACGUGCCGGAGGCUGUCGAUCCCAGUUUAAUAACCACCUUAGAUAAGACCUUGGAGAAACAGUAUCUGUAACAAGAGAGGGAAGUAGCUGAGAAGAGGUAAGGAUGGAGAAUACCACUUCUCUUACACUUUCAAAAUAAUGUGCAGAAGGCUUGAAUCCACUAUACUAACCACUCUCCACACAAGCACUUUCUCAGUGUUAAAAGGAGACAAAAAUGAGUUCUAAUAACUGCAGGUCUUUAAAAAGAGCAAGAGAGGGUCUAUCAAGUAAGUUCUUGAAUUCUUAAGAAAAGUUUUGUUCUUUCCCUUCUAGCCAGCAUGCAAGCUACAUGCUUCCUUUCAGGACAAAAAAGUACUUACCCUUUUUGUGUAUGACUAAGCACAGGGCUGUUUUAUGCACUGGAAAGUUCUUGCAGAAGUUAAUGUGCAUGCUGUCUGGAGUGCAGUGUUUACACUUGGGAGGAAUAUAAACGGUGCUUUGGUUUCUACAUAUUUCAUGAUCGAAGUGCAUCAUCUGAGCUGAGAGCUAGCAAGCUGCAGCAACAAAGGCUUGCUUUGCUGGAUGAUUUAACUAGAUGAAUUUAAAAGUGGUGCUCCCUGUUAUGCCACCCCCAU